AUCACUACUCAGCCUUUUGGCUAAGAUCAAGCACAGUAUCUGUUCUUAUCAGUUUAAUAUGUGAUACGUCCUCUAUCAAAGGACAUUAUAUUAAAUGUAUUUUUGUAGCAGGAAAAUGGAACAGGAGCUUGCUCCAUCCACUCCACGCAUUGUCCACUCCACACAUCAAGUUGGUAUUGCAGUACCU
ensembl:snRNA U2 U2 spliceosomal RNA